rnacentral:rRNA from 1 species
UACGUAGGGCGCAAGCGUUGUCCGGAAUUAUUGGGCGUAAAGAGCUCGUAGGCGGUCUGUCGCGUCCGUUGUGAAAACUCCGAGGCUCAACCUCGGGCUUGCAGUGGAUACGGGCAGACUAGAGUGCGGUAGGGGAGACUGGAAUUCCUGGUGUAGCGGUGGAAUGCGCAGAUAUCAGGAGGAACACCGAUGGCGAAGGCGGUUCUCUGGGCAUGUCCUGACGCUGAGGAGCGAAAGCCAGGGAGGCAAACGGG